UGUGACUUUGCUGCAUCAGCUUCCUCUUUUUAUAACAUGGCAAUGGAUAUUGUGUCUAAACUGGGUUUUAUCUUCAUGUUUGCUCUAACAGAAUUCUGUUGGUGUCAGACACUGACUGAGUCUGAGUCAGUGGUCAUUAAACCUGGAGGAUCUCACAGACUUACCUGUACAGUCUCUGGAUUUAGUAGUGACUAUGCCAUGUCCUGGAUCAGACAGACUGCAGGAGGAGGUCUGGAGUGGCUGGCUUACAUCUCAGAUGGCAGUGUUUCUAAAUACUACUCUCAGUCUGUUCAGGGACGCUUCGCCAUCUCCAGAGACAACAGCAAGAAACAGAUGUAUCUGCAGAUGAAUAAUAUGAAGAAUGAAGACACUGCUGUAUAUUAUUGUGCAAGAAAACCACAAUGACAAAUACAACUACAGUACUGUACAAAAUCUCAAUGCAGUAAUCAGAAAUCAUUUUUAAUUUGCCUGUAUUACUGAACUACAAGCUACUGAAGCUCUACAACUUCACAAUUUUUUACAUUAUUUUACUGAUCACAAAUAUCCUCUUAAUUAUUACAUUACAAUAAUUGUAAUGAACAAUCAAUAAACCGAUAAAUGGAACAUUUACUGUAUACCCAUUCAUGACCAAAUGCCGUCUUUAUAGUGAAUAUUGUAAAAGGGUUUAAAAAAAUGCAAGAACAGGAGCAUGUUUACAUAAGAACAACAGACACUAAACAUUAUAGGCUAACGCUGAAAUGCAUCAAAUUGUUUCCUGUUUGGUAAUGAUUAUGAUUGUAUGUGUUUGGAAGAUUUUCA